AGGAUAAACGCUGGCGGCGUGCCUAACACAUGCAAGUCGAACGCGCUUUCGUCUUCGGAGGAGAGCGAGUGGCGGACGGGUGAGUAACACAUGGGUACCUACCCCACAGUGAGGGAUACCGGCGAGAAAUCGCCGACAAUACCGCAUAGGCUUCUCUUUGGAGACGAGGAGAAGCAAAGUUGCGCAAGCGACGCUGAGGGAUGGGCCUGUGGCCGAUUAGCUAGUUGGGGGGUAACGGCCUCCCAAGGCUUCGAUCGGUAGCUGGUCUGAGAGGACGAUCAGCCACACUGGGAUUGAGAACGGCCCAGACUCCUACGGGGGGCAGCAGUGAGGAAUUUUCCGCAAUGGAGGCAACUCUGACGGAGCAACGCCGCGUGCAGGAUGAAGGUUUUCGGAUCGUAAACUGCUUUUCUCGGGGACGAGCAAGGACGGUACCCGAGGAACGAAGCCCCGGCUAACGUACGCGCCAGCAGCCGCGGUAA
rnacentral:rRNA from 1 species